GGCUGGUCUGAGUGCAGUGGUGUUUACAACUAAUUGAUCACAACCAGUUACAGAUUCCUUUAUUCCUUUUCCACUCCCAUUGCUUCACUUGCCCAGCCUUAA
ensembl:misc_RNA Y_RNA Y RNA